rnacentral:rRNA from 1 species
CCUACGGGAGGCAGCAGUGAGGAAUAUUGGUCAAUGGACGAGAGUCUGAACCAGCCAAGUAGCGUGAAGGAUGACUGCCCUAUGGGUUGUAAACUUCUUUUAUAUGGGAAUAAAACAGGGUAUGCAUACCCUCUUGUAUGUACCAUAUGAAUAAGGAUCGGCUAACUCCGUGCCAGCAGCCGCGGUAAUACGGAGGAUCCGAGCGUUAUCCGGAUUUAUUGGGUUUAAAGGGAGCGUAGGUGGAUUGUUAAGUCAGUGGUGAAAGUUUGCGGCUCAACCGUAAAAUUGCAGUUGAUACUGGCAGGCUUGAGUACAGUAGAGGUAGGCGGAAUUCGUGGUGUAGCGGUGAAAUGCUUAGAUAUCACGAAGAACUCCGAUUGCGAAGGCAGCUCACUGGACUGCAACUGACACUGAUGCUCGAAAGUGUGGGUAUCAAACAGGAUUAGAUACCCGUGUAGUC